UGGCUCAGGAUGAACGCUGGCGGUAUGCCUAACACAUGCAAGUCGAACGGUGUCUUUCGAGACAUAGUGGCGGACGGGUGAGUAACGCGUGAGAAUCUGCCAUUUGGAUGGGGACAACAGCGGGAAACCGGUGCUAAUACCCAAUAUGCAUCUUUGGAUGUGAAAUAUUUAUAGCCAAAUGAGGAGCUCGCGUCCGAUUAGUUAGUUGGUGGGGUAAGAGCUUACCAAGGCAGCGAUCGGUAGCUGGUCUGAGAGGAUGAGCAGCCACACUGGGACUGAGACACGGCCCAGACUCCUACGGGAGGCAGCAGUGGGGAAUUUUCCGCAAUGGGCGAAAGCCUGACGGAGCAAUACCGCGUGAGGGAGGAAGGCUUUUGGGUUGUAAACCUCUUUUUUAAAGGAAGAAGAAAGUGACGGUACUUUAAGAAUCAGCAUCGGCUAACUCCGUGCCAGCAGCCGCGGUAAUACGGAGGAUGCAAGCGUUAUCCGGAAUCAUUGGGCGUAAAGCGUCCGCAGGUGGUUCGUCAAGUCUGCCGUUAAAGACAGAAGCUUAACUUCUGAGAGGCGGUGGAAACUGGGGAACUAGAAUACGGUAGGGGUUGAGGGAAUUCCCAGUGUAGCGGUGAAAUGCGUAGAUAUUGGGAAGAACACCAGUGGCGAAGGCGCUCA
rnacentral:rRNA from 1 species